rnacentral:pre_miRNA from 1 species
AGGGGAAUAGCUGGGUCAAAUGGUAGUUCCAUUCCUAGCUUUCAAGGAAUCUCCAUAUUGCUUUCAAGGAAUCUCCAUAUUGCUUUCCAAAUUGGCUGUGCCAAUUUGCAGUCCCACCAGCAAU